CCUACGGGAGGCAGCAGUGAGGAAUAUUGGUCAAUGGCCGAGAGGCUGAACCAGCCAAGUCGCGUGAGGGAAGACGGCCCUACGGGUUGUAAACCUCUUUUGUCGGGGAGCAAAGCGAGUCACGUGUGACUCAUUGAGAGUACCCGAAGAAAAAGCAUCGGCUAACUCCGUGCCAGCAGCCGCGGUAAUACGGGGGAUGCGAGCGUUAUCCGGAUUUAUGGGGUUUAAAGGGUGGGCAGGGGGAGGGGCAAGUCAGCGGUCAAAUUGCGGGGCUCAACCCCGUACUGCCGUUGAAACUGCAUCCCUUGAGUGCGCGAGAGGUAUGCGGAAUGCGUGGUGUAGCGGUGAAAUGCAUAGAUAUCACGCAGAACGCCGAUGGCGAAGGCAGGAUACUGGCGCGCAACUGACGCUGAGGCACGAAAGCGUGGGUAUCGAACAGGAUUAGAUACCCGUGUAGUC
rnacentral:rRNA from 1 species